CACACACACACACACACACACACACACACACACAGUCUCUCACUCUCACCCUGCCAGGUCAGUUACCCCCUCAGUCUCUCACCAUGCCAUGUCCCAACUGGUGGGAGUGGUCACUACUCAUGCCUGGUCGUUCAUAAAGAAAGUAAGACAGUUAGUCUUCAUCUCUUAACAUUUAAAGGAUUAGUCUUCAUCUUUUAACAUUUAAAGGGUUAGUCUUCAUCUCUUAACAUUUAAAGCGUUAGUCUUCAUCUCUUAACAUUUAAAGGGUUAGUCUUCAUCUCCAUAUCACUAUCUCUUAACAUUUAAAGGGUUAGUCUUCAUCUCUUAACAUUUAAAGGGUUAUUGUCAUCUCUUAACAUUUAAAGGGUUAGUCUUCAUCUCUUAACAUUUAAAGGAUUAGUUGUCAUCUCUUAAAAUUUAAAGGAUUAGUCAUCAUCUCAACAUUUAAAGGAUUAGUCUUCAUCUCCAUACAACCAUCUCUUAGCAUUUAAAGGGUUAGUUGUCAUCUCCAUACCACCAUCUCUUAACAUUUAAAGGGUUAGUCUUCAUCUCUUCACAUUUAAAGGAUUAGUUGUCAUCUCUUAACAUUUAAAGGUGUGUGUGUGUGUGUGUGUGAGACCUGCUUCCCCCUGGUCCUCUGUGCUGUAGCCAUGAGAGGGUUGAUGUGUGUGUGUGUGUGUGUGUGUGAGACCUGCUCCCCCCUGGUCCUCUGUGCUGUAGCCAUGAGAGGGUUGGUGUGUGUGUGUGUGUGUGUGUGUGUGUGUGUGUGUGUGUGUGUGAGAGACUCUGUGCUGUAGCCGUGAGAAAAAUGAGAUGGAUGGUAAUUAUGUCACCAAGCUCCUGUCAAUCAUGAUGGUCAUGAUCUGUCACUGUGUGUCACUCGCCUACUUCCUUAUAUUGUCAUGGUCAUGGAACUGUGUGUGUGUGUGUGCGCAUGUGUGUGUGUGUGUGCGUAUGUGUGUGACUUGCUUACUAUCACUGCUGCUUGAACUGAGGUAGGGAGACUCCUAUCCUUACAGCCACACACUACAAUCAAUGUUUCAGUUCUUUCCCUUUAACACGCCUUCAAGCGAAAUAUUCACCAAAUAAAAUGCCACUUCCUGCCUGUG
ensembl:lncRNA